AUUGAACGCUGGCGGCAUGCCUUACACAUGCAAGUCGAACGGCAGCACGGGUGCUUGCACCUGGUGGCGAGUGGCGAACGGGUGAGUAAUACAUCGGAACAUGUCCUGUAGUGGGGGAUAGCCCGGCGAAAGCCGGAUUAAUACCGCAUACGAUCUACGGAUGAAAGCGGGGGACCUUCGGGCCUCGCGCUAUAGGGUUGGCCGAUGGCUGAUUAGCUAGUUGGUGGGGUAAAGGCCUACCAAGGCGACGAUCAGUAGCUGGUCUGAGAGGACGACCAGCCACACUGGGACUGAUACACGGCCCAGACUCCUACGGGAGGCAGCAGUGGGGAAUUUUGGACAAUGGGCGAAAGCCUGAUCCAGCAAUGCCGCGUGUGUGAAGAAGGCCUUCGGGUUGUAAAGCACUUUUGUCCGGAAAGAAAUCCUUGGCCCUAAUACGGUCGGGGGAUGACGGUACCGGAAGAAUAAGCACCGGCUAACUACGUG
rnacentral:rRNA from 1 species